ACAGUAUAAAUGCUAUCACCAUUUCAGUUAUUACCACCAGUGUCUUUUGGCAUCCCACGAAUUUUGGGGUUCACCUUUUCCUGCUGUUGAUUCUUUCUAGACUGGAAAGUCAUCUAUCAACAUCAGAGUGAUAGAAAUGCCCCGGCAAUGGCCAAAGCCCCUUCGUUUUCAUGUUCCUCAUUUCGCCUGGCCACCACCCCAUCCUCCCCUGUCUGUGCUCCCAUCAUUGCCAUGGCCAGAGCCCUAUCCUGUUGGAAUUACUAUGCAUGUUGCUACUGGCUACCCACUACGCCAGCAUCCUCCCCUGUCUGUUGGAGUCCCUGUAUCAGUUUUGGAAGUUGGCAGAUCACUAUAACUCCUGAGCAACAAGCCAAACCAGAGAUAUGGUAGGUUCUCAGGCCCUAGCUUUCCUCUGCCUUUAUCAGAAAUUCAUUUGCCACCGCUGAUGCAACCAAACUCAUUUCUUUACAAUCCCAAAACAAGCUCACAUCUCCUCUGGAGACGGGUGCUUUGCUGUGUGCAGGAUGAGCUCACCCCUUCAUUGAAUGGAAACAAGAUCAUCACAGGAAUGAAACAGAAUAGUACCCGAAUUGCACAAAAUGGAUUCACAGCUGAUGAUUGUAUGGGUUUAGGUGCCAGAAAUGUUGAGCCUCUCCAUCCAGAGAAACAAGAGCAGACUGGAUCGUCACCUCUGACACUCAUACCUACACCUGCCUGCUCAAAGCACCUCUCAGGUUUCCCUCCAACUCUCUUAGAUAUGGAGAUUUUUGCUUCCUUUCUUUCAAGGCAACCUGAAGGCAUUCUGACCAAAAUUCAAGGGAUCCCAAAUUCACUACUCAUUCUUUCAUGGAUUUCUGAAUAUUCCUCAGGGCUGCAAGAUUUAUAAUGCUUCCAGUUUGCUCUGUUAUUCUCUGUGUACCUAUUUCGUGUCUCAUGUUACUCAUUCAUCUGUCAUUUUACUCUUCUGUACAAAAUGCAUUCUUCACCUUUCUGAAGCUGCUCAUCAUGGAAAUGCUUUUCUGCACUCCUCUGUCCCCUACAAUAAAGCUUAUCUAUCUGCAUCAAAACGA